rnacentral:rRNA from 1 species
UACGGGCAGCAGUGGGGAAUAUUGCACAAUGGGCGAAAGCCUGAUGCAGCUAUGCCGCGUGUAUGAAGAAGGCCUUAGGGUUGUAAAGUACUUUCAUCGGGGAGGAAAAAACAAAACUAAUAAUUUUAUUUCUUGACGUUACCCGAAAAAGAAGCACCGGCUAACUCCGUGCCAGCAGCCGCGGUAAUACGGAGGGUGCUAGCGUUAAUCAGAAUUACUGGGCGUAAAGAGCACGUAGGUGGUUUUUUUAAAGUCAGAUGUGAAAUCCCUGGGCUUAACCUGGAACUGCAUUUUGAAACUGAAAUACUAGAGUAUCGUAGAGGGAGGUAGAAUUCUAGGUGUAGCGGUGAAAUGCGUAGAUAUCUGGAGGAAUACCUGUGGCGAAAGCGGCCUCCUAAACGAAUACUGACACUGAGGGUGCGAAAGCGUGGGGAGCGAAACAGGGAUUAGGAUACCCGU